AUGGCGGGGGAGUUGGGUCAGCAGACAGUGGAGCUGGGGACUGUGGCGCGGCAGGCGGCGGAGGAGUCCUACCUGGCGCUGCGGGAGCUCGUGGAGAAGUCGCGGGCGGGCGCCGAGGGGGAGGCAGCGCAGCAGAGGUCGGAUACUGAGAAGAAGAUCGACCUGCUCAAAUUCAUCGACCGCACCCGCCAGCGCAUGCUCCGGCUCCAUGUCCUCGCCAAGUGGUGCCAGCAGGUGCCCUUGCUUCAUUACUGCCAGCAACUUGCGUCAACUCUCUCCAGCCAUGAAACUUGCUUCACCCAAACAGGCGAUUCACUGUUCUUUAUGCAUGAAGGAUUGCAGCAAGCUCGUGCUCCCAUUUUUGAUGUUUCAUCUGCGAUAGAAGUCAUACAUACAGGGAGCUAUAGGAGAUUGCCUAAAUCUGUAGAGGAAAUAGGUACUCAGAAUACACUUUUUCAAGAUGAGCGGAGGCCUACAUUGAAGAAAUUAAGCACCCUUGUGCGGGCAAAAUUACUUGAAACCCUAGUUCCUAAAGAAAUGUCUGAGGUUUCGGUGACUGAUGGAAUAGCCAAUGUACAGGUAGAUGGCGAAUUCAAAGUACUCCUUACGUUAGGUUACCGUGGGCACUUCUCGCUGUGGAGGAUUUUGCAUAUUGAGUUACUUGUUGGUGAGAAGACCGGGCCUAUUAAGCUUGAAGAGACAAGAAGGUAUGUUCUGGGUGAUGACAUCGAACGGAGAAUGGCUGUGGCUGACAAUCCCCUCACAAUUUUGUAUACAAUUCUCCAUGAGCUAUGCAUCUCUUUUGUUAUGGAUACCGUAAUUAGACAGACUAAUGUUCUACGACAAGGUAGAUGGAAAGAGGCAAUAAAAUCUGAACUUGUCUCGGAUAGUCAUAGAAGUGCAGGACAAGGUGGGAAUAAUGCUCCAACGCAGCUUGGUCAAGAUGGAGAGCUCGAUUCAAGUGGGUUCAGGAUACCUGGUUUGAAAGUAAAUUAUUGGCUGGAUGAAAGAAACAGUGGGUCAGCAGAAUCUGAUUCAUCUCCAUUUAUUAAAGUUGAGGCACUGCAAGAUAUGCAGAUAAAGUGUCAGCACAGUUCAUUUGUAUUGGAUCCACUUACAGAUAAAGAAGCUGAUCUUUCUCUUGAUCUGAGUUGCAUUGAUGUUGAGGCAAUCAUUUUGAAAGCAAUUGCUUGCAAUAGACACACACGUCUUCUGGAAAUUCAGAGGGAGUUGAAAAAAAAUACUCGGAUUUCUCGAUCUCCAACUGAUGUCGUCCUGAAACGGAAAGAAGAUCAUAUGGACGUCCUGCAAAAGAGAGUGGAUAGAAGGGGCUUCGAGAAUUGUUGUACAAAUGAAGUGCUUCAGGUUAGGGCAUAUGGAAAAUCGUAUAUUCACCUGGGAAUAAAUAUCAGGAGUGGUGGCUUCCUCCUGCAAUCACCAAAAAAUAUAUUACCACCUUCUGCAGUAUUAGACUCUGAAGAAGCCCUUAAUAAACAGAGCAUAACACCCACUGAGGUCUUCGUGAGCUUAAAGACCAGAAGCAUCCUUCACUUGUUUGCUGCGACAGGAAGGUUUUUGGGCCUGAAGGUUUACUCUGAGUGUCAGAUUACUCUGAAGAUACCAAAAUCCAUACUGUAUGGUUCAGAUUUUAUGGUUAUGGGAUUUCCUUGGCGUACAAAUGCCUAUUAUCUUCUGAUGCAACUUGAUGACAACCUCAUGCCGGUUUUUUAUUUGCUUGAGGUGCAUACUGACGGAGAAGACAGGUCUAAUAUUGAUACAACCACUGAUGCUAAAGAAGUUGUAAGGUUUAACAGAAUUGACAUUGGCCAGAUGCAACUAGGUGAAGAUGAAUGCAUUGCAAAUCUUCUCGAUGUAGAGAAAUUGCAGGUGCUACAAAGCAUGGAAGAUGGGUCUCCCAGGCAUAGUGAAAUUGAUGAGUCUCUUCUUCUAAAGCCUUCAUUUUCUUCUGUUGUUAACACAGUAUUAGGAUAUGAGCAAGAUUCUCCAAGUAAGGAAAAUUGGCUGUCUUAUAGUUCGCCCUCAACUCAUUUGAGUUCUCAAAAAGUUGGCCGUCAGGGGGUUAGCAGUAGAGCUGGCCCACCUGAACUGGAUGAUGACUUACUACACUCUAACAUUGACACAGCAAAAGUCGCUUCUGGUGUCACUUUGGACAGUUAUCUGCUGAGUAAUUCGAAGUCUGCAUAUAGUACAGAGACCUCCGGUUUGGUCCCUGCAGGUUUUGAGAAUAUCUCCACUUUACGCUCUGAAGUUCCAUCUGGAAAGAGAUAUCUUUCAGAGUUCUUGUUGAACAUCCCAUCAUUACAGCGAUCAAUAAUCAGUGGUGGGCCAAGAAAGAGAAGAAAACUGCCAGAAGUUGCAAGCAGUGUGCAAUCUCGAACAACCCUCACCUAUGGAACUAUACUGAGAGAAGGAAAUUGUUGUAUUACAGAAAAUAUAUAUGCUUCUGUGCUUCUUCAAGUCAUAAAGCAUUGUUCGCUUCGUAUCAAAUAUGCUCAACUGACUACCCAGAUGAAUUCUCUUAACAUUCCAUAUGUAGAAGAAGUUGGUCUGGGGACACCCUCCUCUAAUCUUUGGUUACGGCUACCUUUUGCUCAAGAUGGUUCUUGGAAACACACAUGCUUACGUCUCGGUGAAGCUGGAAGCAUGUCAUGGGGUGUUAGGAUCAACGAUCCAUAUUAUGGUGCACUGUGGGAACUUCAUGGAGGCAGCAAUACUACAGAAUGGGGUUCUCGUGUUCGCAUUGCAAACACUUCUGAGAUGGAUUCACACAUCUCUUUUGACUAUGAUGGGAUCACUUUGACUUACAACUCUGUUGAGGCUGAUAGUAUACAGCGGCUUGUCUCAGAAUUACGGCGACUUUCAAAUGCUCGUGUAUUUGCUUGUGGAAUGCGGAGGUUGGUUCGUGUUAAAGUAGAUGAGAAAUUAGUUGAGAAUCAGUUAGCUACAAAGGCAAAGUUACAUGCAAGAAAAGGUUUCAGGAACAGGUUAUCGGACCAGAUGGCUAAAAAUUUCCGAAUUAACGCUGUUGGUUUGAUGAACUUGUGGUUCAGUUAUGGUGCCAAUGCCAUGCCCAUGGUUCACUUUGUUGUCGAGUGGGAGGCCGGUAAGGUUGGUUGCACAAUGCGUAUUUCACCAGAUCAUCUUUGGCCACAUACAAAGUUUUUGGAGGAUUUUGUGAAUUGCAAUGAGGUAGCAUCAUUUUUGGAUUGCAUCAGACUGACAGCAGGUCCUUUACUUUCCCUUGGUGGUGCAAUUCGUCCUGCAAAGAUGCCUGCUGUCCCUGCUGUUUGCGGUUCUGCACAAAAGCAAAACAAUGUUCUUUUGGCAAAUGGUUCAUCAUCAACUACUGUGCAUAUAAACAGUCAUGAUGCUCAGACUUCCUCUAUGCUCUCUGCCGUAGGCCGGACAGGGCAUGGACUAGUUCCUAGUUCUUUGAUGCCUUUUGAUGUUUCUGCUGUGCUCCGUGGGCCGUACUGGAUACGCAUUAUAUAUCGCAAUAAGUUCUCUGUUGACAUGCGCUGCUUUGCUGGGGAUCAGGUCUGGCUGCAGCCAGCAACCCCUCCAAAAGGCGGACCUUCAAUUGGUGGAUCUUUACCUUGUCCACAAUUUCGACCAUUCAUAAUGGAACUUGUUGCUCAGGGUCUAAAUACUCUUGAGCCGAGCUUUCUGAAUGCUAGACAUACUAGUGCCAAUACUUCAUCUGGAAGUCAACAGGCAGUUACUACUACGAAUCGCUUGAGUGGUGGUGCUCCUGGGGAAAUUAAGCUAACUUCAGGUGUUGGUUGUCAGAUAGCAGCUAGUGUGAGUAGAGCAGGCAAUGCCACACUACCUUCAGGAGACGGAGCUCCUGCACACCUUUCUCCUGACACUAACCUUCCUGUGCAUAUGAAAGGAGAAUUGAACACAGCUUUUAUCGGGCUUGGAGAUGAUGGUGGCUAUGGUGGUGGCUGGGUCCCUCAUGCUGCUCUUAAGAAGGUGUUGCGAGGCAUUCUCAAGUACCUUGGAGUUCUAUGGUUGUUUGCACAAUUGCGUGAUAUUCUGAAAGAUAUAUUGGGGUCAGUUUUGAAAGAUAAUGAAGGUGCACUUCUGAAUUUGGAUCAAGAACAGCCAGCGUUGCGCUUCUUUGUGGGUGGUUAUGUCUUUGCAGUUAGUGUUCAGCGAGUUCAAUUGCACCUUCAAGUUCUUAAUGUGAAGAGGUUUCACCACCAGCAACAGCAACAGCAACAGCAAGCUCCUCAGAGCAGUGCUCAGGGAGAGCUAACACCAUUUGAGAUACAUGAGAUAUGCGAUUACUUCAGCAGAUGUGUUGUCUGUGAACCUUAUGAUGCUUCUAGGAUUGCUUCUUUUAUCAUGUUGCUUACUCUGCCCAUUUCAGUUAUACAAGAAUUUGUAAAACUAAUUACAUGGAAUAAAAGCUUGUCCGAGGCUCAUGGGGACAUUGCUGCUGCAGAGCGGGCACGGGCUGAACUUUGUUUGGAAAAGCAUCCAAGAUCAGUUUCAGAUGAUUAUACUGAACCUUCUUUAUUAUCCAAGAGUAAUAUUCAGCAUGACCGAGCCAACAAUUCAGUAGAUUUUACCCUCACUUUUGUGCUUGACCAUAAUCUUACACCACAUGCGAGGACAUCUGGUGGAGCUGCUUGGUUACCAUUUUGUGUUUCUCUGAGAUUAAGGUACACCUUUGGGGAUACUAGUCAUAUCGCAUACCUUGCAAUGGAUGGCAGCCAUGGUGGUUGGUCUUGCUGGUUGCAACACGAGGAUUGGGAGAGGUGUGAGCAGAGUGUUGUUAAAGCAGUGAAGACGGUGAAUGGAUCGCCAGCAGGUGGAGAGACAAGCCGAGGAAGGCUGCAAAUGGUUGCUGAAAUGGUCCAAAAGCAACUGCAACUGUGCCUAGUGCAUUUAAGAGAUGGCUCGCUUUCUGCUGGCUCAACUCGACCAUGA
rnacentral:rRNA from 1 species